rnacentral:rRNA from 1 species
CACGUAGGGCGCAAGCGUUGUCCGGAAUUAUUGGGCGUAAAGAGCUCGUAGGCGGUUCGUCGCGUCGGCUGUGAAAACCCGGAGCUCAACUCCGGGCCUGCAGUCGAUACGGGCGGACUUGAGUGUUGCAGGGGAGACUGGAAUUCCCAGUGUAGCGGUGAAAUGCGUAGAUAUUGGGAGGAACACCAGUGGCGAAGGCGGUCCCCUGGGCCGGAACUGACGCUGAGGCGCGAAAGCGUGGGUAGCAAACGGG